GUGUCCAGCGUUGGUUUUCAAGGAAUUUGGACCUAUUGGAAGCUCCUACUACCCUAAUGCCAUGAAUAUUGAGGUGAACAAUGUGGAAGAAAAAGCUGUCCACUCUUGGUCAAGAAUCUCUUCUGCAGGACAGAAAGCCCUGGAGGAAGCCCUCCGAGUCUUCAACCCCAUGUCCAAGGACCUUUCAGACACCGAGACCCAGCUGGUGGCCUUUCUCCAAGGCCUCAAGGAGGAAGGCCACCAGCCCACAAUCUUAAGGAGCAAGGAUGUGUAUGGGUACAGCUCCUGCACGGCGGCUACUCCCAGCCAGACACUCGAGAGCACACAAGACAGUUCAAGCACCGGCGCUGCUGUCUCUGACUGUAAAGCUCCGGUUAGAAGCCCUGCAGCGACAGCAGAGAUUCCUGGGACACUUGCGGGGGUUUCAGUCCGCUCUCCUGACGUCCGCACCAAGCCUGUCUCAAAAGGUAGUUCCACAAACCUGCUGCUGAACUCAUUGAAAGAGACACGGUCAGGCACAUCGAAGGCCUCAGCAAUGGGCUUCCCAGCUAAUAUGUACCCUGACGUGUAUCCAGCCAUGAGACUCUCUGUCGUUCUAGAAGCCUUGGUCCCACUGAAAGCCACAGCAUCCUGUUUGGAGUCCAAAUUCAAACCAGGGCAUCUUGGAAUCUCCCCCUCGGACCUGAAGCUCCUCAAGGCAUCGGGUGCCUCGAGGCAGAACGCUAAGCUACCCUCGGGGCAGUUAGACCCCAAAGGCUAUAAACACGUAGUUAAGAAAGCGCCAGAAUCUCCCGCUCUAGCUGUAACACUUCUGAAGGGAACUAAAGGUGGGGUGCUAAAGGAGAGUAAUGCUUGCAAAGCAUCUGGAAUCCUGAAUGGCAGGAUUACAGGUAGCUCAUCUCAGUGUUGCAGUGGGGGGUCACAGUCCAAGGCCUUUAAAAAUAAAGCCAAGGAAGUUCCAGUGGGGAGAACUGAAUGGAAAGACAGCAGUAGUCAGGAACCUGUUGGGCAGAAAAGGAAAAGAGCCGAGGAGGCGAAAGAAGCACCACAGAAGAAGAAGAAAAAUGCCAUGAAUAAACCUGAACUAGGUCAGAGCACUUUGAACCUGCUGAGAUCCCGGGCCAUUAAGGUGGACAGCUCGUCAUCAGACGAUGAAGUGAGGCGGAGAGCACAGAAGAUCCUUAGGGUUAACCUGUCCCCUGUGAUCAAAAUUCAGCCAUUGUCCCCCUCUCACAAUGUCCCCUGAGUUCCUUCCUUCCUUUUGUCACUUUUCUCUUAAAUACAUAAGUGUGAACCAGCUGCCAGGCUGUGGAAAUAUGUAAGAGCCACUUCCAUUCUCUAGUGUCCGGCAACAGUAUCACACCCGGUACCUGCAGACUUUGGGCAGCUUGCUCCACGGCUGUUGCUGGCUGCCUGGUGACAUUCUGCAGAGUUGGACUGCACGAGUACAAACCCAUGUUUAGAAAUACAGGACAAUGACUCCCAGCCCCUGUGGUGAGCUGAGCGAAGCCAGGUGCUAGCGUUCUGUGCUGUGCUUUUCUGAACGUGGUGGAGCGUACGUCUGUGCAGUGGGGAGCGCGUGACUUUCUCAUGACGUUCAUGCACUGUGAUAUUUUGUUCUUUUUCAAGCUGUACAUUUAUUGGUUUUAUUUUGAUCAAAUUUUAUAACUUUAUUAUAUAUCUAUAUAUCUAUACACACACAAUGCCCUGGCACUGUCUGAAGACACAUUUCCUCCGCCCCUCUGGAUUUUGGUUCCAUACCUUUUUUUUUUACCUGCCCGUCAGUCAGUUUUUUGUCGAAAGGUGCCAGGGUUUCUUUCCCAUCAUCAGUGUUGUUACCCGUCUGUUCUGGGCUCUCUUGAGAAGCUCAGAAGCAGGCAGAAUUAUAGCCACACAUUUGUCUCUGGAAACACCAUGCCGGAUGGAGACUUACCAGCUCGUAGAUGAGUUUAGGUCUAUCCUGUUCAGAUGACCUCUUCAAAGAAAAUGGAAAGUAGGGGAGGGCUGAUUGGGCUGUUAGCGCUGAGUCUGUCUGACGGCUUUCUGGGUGCCGCCCACCUUUCGCUAUUAGCAGAAACGCUAAACGCUUCCUGCGGGUUUGCUUCCAAAGAGCACCACGGGAAAGGUGCUGUUAUGCCCUGUUUGUUAACUUAAAAAAUGAAUUUGUGGCUGGUUGUCGACCCAAGAUCUGGGGCUGCCAAUCCACGGAUACUUGUUAUUUCCUGGCCAGACUGUCACCACUUGCGUGCUGCUGAACAUUGCAGUGACCUUCGGGUUUGGUCGAGAACUCGCCCACUGUGAUUCUGAAUGUAUCGAGUGUUUGCUAACAUUCUGCUGGCUCCAGUGGAAUGGGUAUGGAUGAGAACCAGAGCGCAGCAGCAGCAGCGCUCGUGGCCCAGAGCCCUGCCCGGGCGGUGCCGAUCCUUCCGAUCGACAGCAUGAGAAAGAGGAGCGCAUCUCGUCCGAGCAUGAGCAUCCAAAGGAAGUUCCCCGAAGGCGGUAAUUAGCCCUUGCCCUGAGGAGUCCCUCAAAGGCCUUAUUAUCCCCAAGCCUAUCCCUCUUGUGGUGUCUUAAUGAUCCCGUUCAGUUCCUGUAGCAGCGCACAGGUCUCCACGGAGGGCGUCUGGGGCCUUCCCGGGGCAAAGCCGGGUGCGCAGUGCUGCAGUGACAGAGAAGGUGCCGUAUAGCCACAGCCUUGCUCCGAACCACCUCUCCCGACCCCAGGGGCACAGACGGGAAUACAGAGCACUGGGAAAUACGCCUCCUGCCACAGCUCGCAAGGGAUGCCAGUUGGCACCUGGAGUUUACCAAGCGGUGCAGUUAGUGUCGUGUCUGGAGAGAUGCUGGCAUCCCCUCUGCCUGUAGUGUCCUGCUGCAGCAUUUCCGAUGGGCGCUAUUCACAGAGCCGUGGGAUAGCGGGACACGGGGAGACUGCUGCCUGUGAGCUGGGAACUGUUCUUCAUUGCCCAGCAGCCUUGGGAGAGAACUGGUCUCCUUCCGUUGCUGCAGCGUGACUAGCCUGCUUCUGCUUGGACUGGAGCCACCAGCUUUGCCAUGGAUCUUCUCUUUGGGUGUGAAUUCAACAGCCCUGUACCAGCAGAGUGCUAGUCCCCAGAGCGAGCGGGCCUUUUCCUGGCAGCGGGUUUUGUCCCGGGCCUGCCGCCCCUGCUGUCAGCUUGGGAGCGGGAUCGUCUGCAGGAGGGACCCCAAGUGCUGCUUAUGUUGUGAAUCUGAAACAACUGGCCCCCUUGUGCCGGGAGUGAACUUUCUACCCUUUGGUGUGUGUGUGGAGUGUUUCUGCCGCGCGGUCAGUGGUUUGCUGGGCUCGCUGUGUAUCUUCGGAAGGCUGUUCAGUGAAGGGCAGUGGUCGUGUUGUCCCACUCUUAUGAGGCAACUGGCCAGAACCAAACUGUCUCUUUUUCUUAAAUGAAGUGAACUUUUUGUUAUGAAAUACGAGCAGGCGAUCUGGCCCUGCCGUCCUUCAGUAAAAUGGUGCUUCAGAACCCAGCCAGCUGCGUCCGGCUCCUCUUUGGGCCCUUCCUUGCCCUUGGCCAGGCUGCUGCUGUUGGUGGUAAUGACUAACACAUUGUCAGGUGAACGGGGCAGAGCCUCGGGUGUGAUUGGCUGCUGCACGGGGCUUGAUUCUCUAACACUCAGCAUUACGAGCCCUGCUCCCCUUGGCACCGUGUAGCAGCGUCAGCCAGUCCAACACCAUGCACCCAAAGAAACGCAGCAUCUUGUCCUGGCCUCACCAACAGCUCAUUGACUUUUCUCUCUCUUGCAGCGACCAUGAAGGCCCGAGGUGCCUGGCCGGGCAGGCCCAGGUGUCCAGGAUGUACUGUCCAGGAAUUACUCUGCAAGGGAAAUGUUCACAGUGAUGUGUUACAAUGUCACUGUCCUGCCAGGAAACCAGGAGUGGCCAGGUGCAGGAGCCAGGGAAGGACGCUAGGGCUUCCAGUAUUCCCCCUUCCUGACAGUUAGGACGCUGCUCCCCAGGGCAGGAGCUGGGAGGGGCUGUGCCAUACGGGGCUUGUCUGUAUGCCUUCCUCCAUCUGUUCAGCUUCCUGCACUGGGCGCCAGCUCUGCCUCUGCCAUCACAGCCCACCUCUAAAAGGGGUUGGGGGAGGUGCUCCCCCUUGGCUUCCCUGGGAGCAGCGGGGUUGGAACUCUCGAGCCAUGGUCCCGGGUGGCUCUGUUACCUCUGUGCUGUGGCUGAGGAAGGCAGCAGUCCCACCCCUGCACAGUACCUUGCCUUUGUCAGCACUGAAUUUCAUCUGCCAUUCUCUUGCCUGGCCACCUAGCAGAAGGGGGCCCAGCUCCUGACUGGUGCAGAGGACUGAAUUUUCGAAGAUGGAGGCCCUGGCUGGUGUUAGGGUGACCAGACAGCAAGCGUAAAAAAUCGGGUUGGGGGGGUAUUAGGAGUCUAUAUAAGAAAAAGAUCCAAAAAUCGGGACUGUCCCUAUAAAAUUGGGACAUCUGGUCACCCUAGCUGGUGUAGACAUGCCCGUUCCCGAGCCUGUACAUUUGUUGGAUAGUACGUGCAAAGCCAGGAACCAGCUGCAUGUGAACAGCGAGGUGAUGGGUAUUUGGGGGGGUUCCCCGGUUGCAUGUGCAGUCCUGGCUGUGCUUUCACCUGCCCCUCGUCCUGCUCCUGGGCCUUUGCUCGGAGCGAAACUGCCCUGUUCCUCUGCUCGCUCCCCAGGAGAACUGCAGGGUGGAUGCAGGAUUGUCAGACUCCGAGGUAAAAGCCAGGGGCAAUCCAGCCCUACUUGUGGCCCUUGGUGGA